rfam:Triticum aestivum genome assembly, contig: Triticum_aestivum_CS42_TGACv1_scaffold_226503_3B
AUACUACUCCCUCCGUCCUAAAAUUCUUGUCUUAGAUUUGUCUAAAUAUGGAUGUAUCAAGUCACAUUUUAGUAUUAGAUACAUCCAUAUCUAGACAAACUUAAGACAGAAAUUUUGGGAUGGAGGGAGUACUAA